UCCUGAGACAACUGAGGCACAAGUGUUUUUGAAGCAGGGAGAUGCAUGGAUGCCUGAUUCAAAAUGAAAGACUCUAUUUCCGGGCACUGGGAUCCCAGAACAACCUUCUAAUCAGAAAAAGGAGAGCAAAACGAAUAAUUACGUUGCUGGGACCGGUUGCUUGAUGAUGCGGAGUAAGUGCUUCUCGCUGCUUGAAGCAAGCAGCAAGAUUAUCCCACGCCUCACCCCUCACACACAGGAAGAAAAAAUAGACCCGUAAUCCAGCCAAAACUUAUAAUGUCACACACGGUUCUAUCACCUGCUCUAGGAAACAACGCGGGCCUUUCAUUUAAUAUUGGAAUAAGUUCAUGCUUUCGUGCUUGCUGAUUUUCCUCGUGGUGCUCUCUGAAUAACCCGGCUCCUCUCCGUGAUGACACUGGCCUGCUCUGAAGAACUUCGAGUCGUCGUGGCUGUCCUCGCCUGGCACUGUGCUUGGGGUGGGGAUUGCUGGAGCCCCGUGCUGAGCUGGGGCACCCACACGGUCUCUGCAGAUCUGUGCCUCUGCGCCACAUUUCUCUUUGCAGAGCCACUUGCCAGCUUUCUUGGAGCACUUCGAUAUUAUAGAUGAAAGGUACGCUGAGAAUUGUUGGAGUUUUUCUCUUACAAAACUAUAGAUCUGUAAUUUACAUCAUUUAAAGUGACAAGUACAAAUCAAUCCACACAGCAUAUAUGUUUAAAAUGUUCCCGUUUUAUUAUUUUAUAUAGCUAGGGCAUAUUUUAAAUCCAUUUACUAGGACAAAAUGUAGGCAGUUAGACAGCACCGGUCCCAGCCUCUGAUUCUGCCACAUGAAAAGGUGUGGUAGGUCAAGUCUGUUUAAGUAGGACCUUGACAUGGUGAGGCUGAUUGCUUUAAUAGCACAGUUUUGGUUUGUGGCUUUUCCUCCUGGGCUCUUUGUUGAGACUUGAGGACCUCUCUUUAGCUGUCUGUGGAGCUCAGGUUUUACAAUGACCUGCUGCAAGCUCGCAGAGGGCAGUGGCAAUGCAUUUCAGUGAUGCUUUUGAGCCCCAUCCAUUGCUAAUUCAGUAAAUCAGCUCUGGCACAUUUGUUUCAUUUGGAAUUGAGCAAUCCUUGCAGAGCAGGCAAAGAAGCAAAUAAGUAGCCCUGACAUUUUGCUUCUGACAUCUUCAGAGAUUUCUUAGGAUGAAAAAGUAGAUUAAAACCAUCUCAGGCCAAAGUGAGGGCUAUCUUUAUCACAGAAUUUAUUUACAAUACCUAUUUUUCCAGCUUCAUUAUCUGUUGUGCUAGCAGGAGGAGAAAUUCAGACUGUGACCAUUAGAGCCCAAACUUCUGAUGAGUUGUUCUCAGAAGCUUGUUGUAAACACAGACGGAAGCAGCUGGCCUCAGUGAGCAGGCCACGAGAAGUCAGAAUUUUGAUGAGAGAUGUAGGUUGCUAACGGCUGUGGUGUUUGCAUUUUCCAGAGUGAUGCAGCUCUUCAAAGAGGUCAGUCAGCAUCUGAAGAGUCAGUGUCAGCUAAAGUUCCUCUCAACAUCACUAAAGCCUCUGCCGGCAGUUGUAGACUUUUUUGUAUAUAUAACCUAGUUAGACAAAUGGAUGCAGGGAAGGCAGGGAAGAAGAGGGGAAAGGGAAAAUAGCAAAAAAUCCUAUUCCUCAGUGAAAUAACAGAGUAAAGCAUUGUUUCACUAUACAUGUAAUUCAAAUAAUAUAAUAAAACAAGCUUUUUUAUUUUAAAUAGAUUGCAGGUUAUCCUGCUUUAUUCAUGCAUCCAACAUGUAUUAAUAACAAACACAUCAAUAUAUUUUAACUUCAGGGGUUCCCAGUCUAUCCUUACACAUAUACAUUUUCAACACCUCAGCAUAAUUAAGCAACCCGAUCACAUAAUGCGUAGUGUUGGGAAAAGUAUGAGAGGGCAUAUGGUACUUGUCUCCAGGAGCAGAGCUCUCCAUUGCUUUUGUUGUUCUGUAUCACCAUCUUAAUGCUUUUUUAAUGGAGUUUUCAGAGGGUGAGCACUGUCAGCCCAUUGUCGGCUCCACUCUGCAUAGAGGAAUAAGCAGUACAUGCUCUGCAGAAACGGGGUAGAAAAUUAAAGAAGGAUAUCAUUUAGGGAUGGCAGCAAGUUUGCUGAUGAAGCGAUGGUGCUUUCUGUUCUCAGGCAUGACUUCUGCCAGUUUAGCAGUGAUGUAGGCUGAAAUUAUUUUUCAUUAUGUUCAUACCAGUCGGGUGGCUUGCAGUGAGGAAAUCCUUUGGUCAAAGUGGUUCCAGAAAAAUAGUGAAUUAGUUUAUAAAUAACUGAAAUCACUGCAUAACUCAUGAAUCGUUUCAAUGAUCCCUGUCAUUUCUCUUUAUAUUUUCUCACUAGGUUUUCUCUGAUAGGAAAAUCAGCACUGACUUCUGAGGCCUCAAGUGCUGUAGAAUAUUUCACAGGAAGGCCUUAUGGAACAAAUCUGUUUUUAAAUGAAAUAAUACAUCCGUUUUAUUUAGUUCCCUGUCCAGCAGAUCACUUAAGCUGUUGACUUCUGUUUGACAAGUCACAUAUUUAAAGUUCUGCUCAAACUAGUGUGUCUUGCUGGAGUGGUGCUGUAUUUGGAUGAAUAGAUCUUUGAUAAAUGAACUGCUGCUUUGUUGUGGGGUUUUCAUUGCUUUUCUUUCUAUUGUCUCUUGUGUAAUAAAUCUGCUUGCAAUUUUUAUUUAUUUAUUGCUUCCCGAGUGUCAUGCCCCUAUGUUCAUAACGGGGUCUAACAAAAUUUAAAAGCCUUUCACAUUGCUCAUGUAGGAGAUCCAGGCAUGUGGAAGAUGGAUUUACAGAAGCAGGUAGAGGUGAGAAUUUCAGGGCACAGCUGUCUCACCAAGAACAAUAAGUGAUUACGUUUGUUUGAUUACAAAGUGAAGAGGUGUGAGAGAGCGAAUGGAUUGCUUUUAAUAGCUCCAAGUGAUAUUUCUGGAUGACACUUUAGAAUAAGUCACUGCACAAGCUAGCUUUGGUAGCAGAAAACCACAGGUUUAUUAAACAAGCCCAACACACAUACGGACAGACAUAUCCAUAAUUCUAUGCAAGCUGUGACUGGAGAAUACAGGAAGACCCCAUUGCUGUUGAGUGAUAAUUCUGACAUGUAAUUCACUUGUUUGGGCCAUUGUCUGUAGCUGAGAUGGCUUUAAUCUGAAUGUAAAAAUGUCCAUCUCAGAGUGCCAUCAACUUCACUACAAGUUGUUGGUGCUGUGAGGCAGAGCAAGAGAGAAGAAUAUAAUUAAUUAGAAUUUGGAUUAGAAGAUGAAGCAAUGUAAAAGCAUUAAACAGGGCUUUAUUUACAGACUGUACAUCAACUACACAGACAAAAUAGGUUUAAGCAACGCUAGAAUAAAUUUAUCUGUUCUGAAUUUAGCUGUUAAAAUGAAUUUAUCUGUUCUUUUAAAAUUAUUUUGGACAUUAUCUACCCAAUGUCUGUAUAAAAGCAUAUUGCUCUUAUACUAAUGAACAGAUGGAAAUUCCGUGGCUAGGCAUCCGCCCCCGCAAAGGAGAGCGGAUGGAGGGGAGACAGUAAGUGAAGCAGUGCUGCAGAGCAUAGAUAACAAACUAUUCUGCAUGUUCCCUGCAGACAGGAGAGGAAGUGGUGGAUUGAAAUUGCAACAGGAGUGCUUGGCUUUAGGGAAGCUCGAACAAUGGGGAUAGUUACGCACAUGUGUGGGCUGAUUAGAGACAGCAGAGGGGAUGGAGUGUCUUCAGGUAGGGACCUAGAUGAGGUGGUCUCAAGACCAGCUUUCUUCUAGUGGUAGCUCUGGGAUGGAAUCCCUUGGGUCAGAACUGCUGCAGGACCUAUUCAGAGAGCAUGCAAGUACGUGCACACGUGUAUGAAUGUAAGCAUAAGUGGGAUA